AAAAAAAAAAAAAAAAAGGAACCCUGUUUUGAAAAACACAAACAAACAAAAAACCUUGUUGUUUUUAGUUUCCUUUUUAAAAGUUACCUGUAUUUAUUUAUUUAUUUAUUGUGUGUGUGCACACACACACAUGCCAUGAAACACUUGUGGAAGUCAGAGGAUAACUUGUGGGAGUCAGCUCUCUUCUUUCUCCAUCAUGUGGUUUCUAGAGAUCAGACUCAGAUUACCAGGCCUGGCAUCAGGCACUAUCCCCCAGUGAGCCAUGUGUCUGGGCUGUUGUUUUGAGAUGGGGAUCUCACUGUGUUUUUCAUGUUGGUCUCAAACUCAUGGGUUUAAAUAAUCUUCCUGCCUCAGUCUCCCAAGUUGUGUGACAUCGCACCCAGGUUAAAACAGGGUUUCAUCCUCCACUCUACUGACUCCUGACUGUGGAAAGCAGGCAACAGAUGGUGGUGUGGAGCAGAAAAGGAGCUGAGAGAAUUAGAUUGCCGCUCCUUCUUCUCCCCUUCCUUCGACUUAAGUUACAAAUGUCUUCAGGCAAACAGAAAUCUGUCAUUAAUUUCAAAACAGUGUCUUUCAAGCAGCUUGUCAAAUCUCUUAGUGGGUGCUUGUUUCCACUUACAGAAUUCUUGUUUUGCAGAAGUUUAGUAGAAACAAUGUCAGAACUACUGGUCUUUCUCCUUUUAUGUUUGUCUAAAGGCACAAAAAUAUUCUUCAAUAAGAAACUGAGUAGUGCCAGCCAGUGGUGGCACACGCCUUCAAUCCCAACACUCAGGAGGUAGAGGCAGGCAAAUUUAUGUGAGUUUGAGGCCAGCCUGGUUGACAUAGUGAGUUUCAGGACAGCCAGAGAUACAUGGAAAAACCCUAUCUCUAAAUAAAUAAAUAAAAGGCUAAAAGACAAACAAACAAGAAAUAAUGAAAGAAAGAAUCUGAGUAUAGUGUCAUAUUUCUGUAAUGCUAACACUUGGGAGAUAAAGACGGGAGGAUAAGAAGUUCAAGAUCCUUCAACAUGCAGAAGGCAGAGGCAGGUGGAACUCUGAGAGUUUGAGGCCAGCCUGGUCUACAGAGUGAGUUCCAGGACAACUAAAUCAUUCUUGAAAACAAAACAAAAAAUAAGAAAGAAACCCAAGAAAGUCAAGGUCAUUCUUGGCCAUAUAUCAAAUUUAAGACCACCCUGGGCUAAUGAGAUCCUAUCUCAAAUUACAACAAAAUUCUCUGAUAAAAAUGUUUCAAUUUUGGUUAGCUAUGGUGGUUCAUGCUUUUAGAUUCAGCAGCUUGAGACGCUGGUGCAGGAUUACCGGCCUGGAUAAUUCAUCAAGACCACAGUUUAAAAAUAAGUUAUAGGUUUGUUUUUUAUAUUUAGUUUUUCAUAUAUUUGGAUUUUAAAAAUAAUUUUAUUUUAUCUGUAUAUAUCUGUAUGAGUGCAUGCCAUGUGUGUGACGGAGACCAGAAGAGGGCAUUAAAUUUCCUGGAGUUGUGAAGAGGCCUAACUUAACAUCAGUACAGCCACGACUGGCUGCAGACUAACAAUACUGUAACUAGGCCUCACCCUUACAAUAACCAGGAAAAACCAUAGACUGCACCCGGCAGGGGAAAAAUCAGAAUGGAGCCAAACAAAUACUAGAUACUCUAGAACAUUAAGAAUAGCUUACCUAACUUGUAUAUAGUUUGUCAAUUUCCUUACAGCAACGCCAGUACCAAUCCCUGUUUGAUAAGACUUCUGUUACUCACUCCUGCCCAAUCAGGAGUUCAACCCCCAUCUGAAUCUGGAAUUCCCUUCCCAUCCUUUACUUCUUUAAAAAACCCUGCCAUAGAUGAGCUUAAGGCUCUCCAAUAUCCAACUUCUCAAGUCCUCUGCAAAAGCAGGAGGUGAUUUUUAAAGGGUUCAAUUCUAAUUUCUUCUUCAGCUGUGGAUCAUUGGCUAGUGUAAUAUGAUUUUGACUGUAUGGGGGUUUUUGAUGGAAAGUUUGUCAUGUUGCCUUAAAUGUGUAUACACCUAGCUGUCCAAUCUGGUCCACGGGCGGGCUCACUAGUCCUUAGGCACUUGACAUGGUAUGUAAUACUGUGUCUGUUUGUUUUUUUAAGAGGUCUUGAUAUCAGUUCUUUAAACUAUCUUGGCUUUUUAAUCUUUCACAAGAUCUAAAGGUGCUACAGAAUAAGUCUAUUGGUACAUUGUUUGAAAUUUUAUUUUAUUUUUUUCGAGACAGGUUUUCUCUGUGUAGCUUUGGAGCCUAUCCUGGCACUCACUCUGUAGACCAGGCCUCGAACUCACAGAGAUCCACCUGCCUCUGCCUCCAAGUGCUGGGAUUAAAGGCGUGCGCCACCAAUGCCUGGAGGAAUUCUAUUUUUAAUAUUGGAUUUUUGGUCAAUGGAUAUGGUAUGUUUGUUUCUUUAUUUCAUUUAUGUCUGGUUUUUUUUUUUAAAUUUUUUUCCUUGUUACUGCCUUGCCUUUUUGAGAUCGUUUCACUAUAUAGACCAGGUUGGUCUCAGACUUGGGCUUCUACUUUCAGCCUUCCAAAGGCUGGAGUUACAAGUCCCUGUUCUGUAGAUUCUUAUGGUCUCUUUGUGCUACAUCCUUGCAAACAUAAUUUCCUUUUCUGUAUGUUUCUUGGUUAUAAUUAUCCAGUAAUUUACUGACUAUCUUGAGAAUAGAAGUGCAGUCAAAGUGAACAUGUGCUAGUUCAUUUUUUUGUUUGUUUUUUGUUUGUUGCCAACUUGACACAGUAUUCUGAGAAGAGGAACCUCAAUUGAGAAACUUCUGCCACCAGAUUGGCCUGUGGCUGUGGCCCCUUACGUCCUGAUGAAGACCUAGUUGCUACCAAACGGAAGAGGAGCUGUGGAUUUCCCUUGGCUCCACCAUCACUAGUCUGUGGAGUACCUCAGCCGCAUGCUGGCAGCUCAAUGCUUGGGUCUGUCACACAUCUCCUCAAGUAGCUUUGACAUAACAAGAUGACAUCUUCUAAUUCCUAAAGCUGAGAUGUGGGGAGAAAGCAGCUUCCAUCACUUGGUAUUUUCCUCGGCUCGAGGAGGAAUUCUUCCCAGGACUUUCAAGCCCCUCCACCAUCCCUUGUCCCGAGUUUUUCUGUGAAGAGAAGGAAUUACUUCAGGUCACUAGCUUAUGUCAAGACAUUGCAGCUCGUCUGUCCACCAAGGCAAAGCACGUGCUGGGCCUUAGGCAAAGAUAGACCCUAACAGUGCCACUCUCAGAGGGCGCUCAGGGAGCUCCAUACUCAACUUUCAACUCUGGCCCUGGUGUUAUGAAUGCAGCCUGUGUGAGCUUUGUGGAAACUUCAGAAGUUAUUCGGAGACUCUAAGGGAUGUAAUGAAAGACCCCUGCCCCUUAGCCCUUUCUUUCUCAAGUUUGCCUCCUCCUCCGGUCGGCGGCUUCCCCGAUCCCCACCCCCCGCC
rnacentral:lncRNA from 1 species